GUGGAAUCUAAAUCGGUCGGACCUACAAUGUGUUUUCGAGUAGUUUUUACUGACAAUUCGCAAGUUUAUUUAUUUGUUGAGCAACGAGAAUGAAUUCCGACAAAAAAAAUAUUAAUUAUGAAAGUAUUGGCUUUGAGAAGCCAAAUAAAUACCUUGCUCAACGACAAUUCUUCAAGAGAACUGUUAGAAACUCUUACUACCCAGCCCUUGCAAAAAAGACAGCGGAGUUAAAAAAACAUCGUUUAAUUCUAUUAGAUACAAUAAACGACCUUGGGACGCCAAUUAAUUCGUGUUGGACAAAGAUGUGUAUAGGUUUCUACUGAUACAGAAGUUGUUAAUUAUAUAUUAUUAAUUUCAACAACGUAGGAGUUAGUGAUGGGCGAAAUAGCGAUUUUUUAGUUUCAGUGAAAAGAGUGAUUGCGAUUUUUAAAUCACUGUGAUUUUUUAUAGCUAUUGCGAUCGCUACUUUUCUUAAUAACAUAGAUAUUUUCAGUAGUUCUAACCUGCAAUUAGGCCAAAACAAAAAUAUUCUAUCUGAAAUAAAAGG